rnacentral:lncRNA from 1 species
AGAGGAUGUCAGGAUCUUUAGCUAGGCAAGAGGUAUUUGUACCAGAGAAAAAGGCUUUGUGAAGGAGGAAACACGUAUGUGGCUACAGAUAAGAAAGACAAGUGGUUGAAAGAAGGAAAAAAGCAAUUAUGUUAUAUGCCUAGAGGAGAAUAAGCUCUUUCUACUUAACUUCAUCUCCGGAUGCACAUUACUUGUGGGAUGGCUGACUAUCAGAAUGAACACAUUUCUCUUCCAGCUUUGUGAAUCCAUCGAAACGAUGCCUGAAGGUGAAGAAACUCUCAAUCUGGAAUGUACUAAUUCCUCACUUUUGCUUCAAGAGCUUCUCCACUUACGUGCUGUGGAUAUCCCUGGGCAAGUCAUUUAAGUCUUCAAUGCUCCUGUUUGCUUGUUUUAAGGAUAGAAAUAAUAAUAGUAC